rnacentral:rRNA from 1 species
UAAGGAAUAUUGGACAAUGGUCGCAAGACUGAUCCAGCCAUGCCGCGUGCAGGAAGACGGCCCUAUGGGUUGUAAACUGCUUUUGUACCAGAGAAAACCUAUCUACGUGUAGAUAGCUGAUAGUCUGGUAAGAAUAAGCAUCGGCUAACUUCGUGCCAGCAGCCGCGGUAAGACGAAGGAUGCAAGCGUUAUCCGGAUUCAUUGGGUUUAAAGGGUGCGUAGGCGGGCUUGUAAGUCAGUGGUGAAAUCUCUCAGCUUAACUGAGAAACUGCCAUUGAUACUGCAGGCCUAGAGUAUAGAUGACGUUGGCGGAAUAUGACAUGUAGUGGUGAAAUACUUAGAUACGUCAUAGAACACCGAUUGCGAAGGCAGCUAACGAAACUAUAACUGACGCUGAGGUACGAAAGUGCGGGGAUCAAACA